rnacentral:rRNA from 1 species
GCAUAUCAAUAAGCGGAGGAAAAGAAACUAACAAGGAUUCCCCUAGUAACGGCGAGUGAAGUGGGAAAAGCUCAACUUUGAAAUUCUGGCUGUUUUACAGUCCGAGUUGUAGUCUCGAGAAGUGUUUUCCGCGUUAAACCGUGUAUGAGUCUGUUGGAACACAGCGUCAUAGAGGGUGAGAACCCCGUUCAUGACACGGCUUUUAAUGCUUUGUGAUACACUUUCGAUGAGUCGAGUUGUUUGGGAAUGCAGCUCAAAUUGGGUGGUAAAUUCCAUCUAAAGCUAAAUAUUGGCGAGAGACCGAUAGCAAACAAGUACCGUGAGGGAAAGAUGAAAAGCACUUUGGAAAGAGAGUUAAAAGUACGUGAAAUUGUCGAAAGGGAAACGCUUGAAGUCAGACGUGCACGGGAUUUAUUCCUAUUGCAGGCCAACAUCGGUUUUACGAGCCGGAUAAAGGUACAAGGAAGGUAGCAGUUUCGGCUGUGUUAUAGCCUCGUACUGAAUACGGAUUGUGAGACCGAGGGACGCAGCGCGCCGCAAGGCAAAGGGUCCGCCCUUUUCGCGCUUAGGAUGUUGGUGAAAUGGCUUUAAUCGACCCGUCUUGAAACACGGACC